rnacentral:rRNA from 1 species
AUUGAACGCUGGCGGCAUGCCUUACACAUGCAAGUCGAACGGCAGCACGGGGCAACCUGGUGGCGAGUGGCGAACGGGUGAGUAAUGCAUCGGAACGUGCCAUUGAGUGGGGGAUAACGUAGCGAAAGUUGCGCUAAUACCGCAUAUUCUGUGCGCAGGAAAGCAGGGGACCGCAAGGCCUUGCGCUCUUUGAGCGGCCGAUGUCAGAUUAGCUAGUUGGUGAGGUAACGGCUUACCAAGGCGACGAUCUGUAGCGGGUCUGAGAGGAUGAUCCGCCACACUGGAACUGAGACACGGUCCAGACUCCUACGGGAGGCAGCAGUGGGGAAUUUUGGACAAUGGGCGCAAGCCUGAUCCAGCCAUGCCGCGUGAGUGAAGAAGGCCUCGGUU